GGGGAAUAUUGGGCAAUGGGCGAAAGCCUGACCCAGCAACGCCGCGUGAAGGAAGAAGGCUUUCGGGUUGUAAACUUCUUUUGGCAGGGACGAAACAAAUGACGGUACCUGCAGAAUAAGCUCCGGCUAACUACGUGCCAGCAGCCGCGGUAAUACGUAGGGAGCAAGCGUUAUCCGGAUUUACUGGGUGUAAAGGGCGCGUAGGCGGGAAUGCAAGUCAGAUGUGAAAUCUGGGGGCUCAACCCCCAAACUGCAUUUGAAACUGUAUUUCUUGAGUGAUGGAGAGGCAAGUGGAAUUCCUAGUGUAGCGGUGAAAUGCGUAGAUAUUAGGAGGAACACCAGUGGCGAAGGCGACUUGCUGGACAUUAACUGACGCUGAGGCGCGAAAGCGUGGGGAGCAAAC
rnacentral:rRNA from 1 species